rnacentral:tmRNA from 1 species
GGGGCUGCAAUGGCUUCGACGGGGUUCUAGGAGUUUGACUGAAACCUGCUCGGUUAGAGCAAAACCAUAACUGCUAACAAAAUCGUUAGUUUCUCCCGUCAAACAGCACCUGUUGCUGCUUGACCUUAUAAAGGAGAUGGGGUUAGAUCAGCCUUAUCAACCAAAUGAUCCAUUGGGCUUGGAAGAGCCCUUUUCAU